rnacentral:rRNA from 1 species
UCAGAUGUGAAAUUCCCCGAGCUUAACUUGGGAACAGCAUUUGAAACUGGCAGGCUAGAGUCUCGUAGAGGGGGGUAGAAUUCCAGGUGUAGCGGUGAAAUGCGUAGAGAUCUGGAGGAAUACCCGGUGGCGAAGGCGGCCCCCUGGACGAAGACUGACGCUCAGGUGCGAAAGCGUGGGGAGCAAACAGGAUUAGAUACCCUGGUAGUCCACGCUGUAAACGAUGUCGACUUGGAGGCUGUGGUCUUGAACCGUGGCUUCCGGAGCUAACGCGUUAAGUCGACCGCCUGGGGAGUACGGCCGCAAGGUUAAAACUCAAAUGAAUUGACGGGGGCCCGCACAAGCGGUGGAGCAUGUGGUUUAAUUCGACGCAACGCGAAGAACCUUACCUACUCUUGACAUCCUCAGAAGAGACUGGAGACAGUCUUGUGCCUUCGGGAACUGAGAGACAGGUGCUGCAUGGCUGUCGUCAGCUCGUGUUGUGAAAUGUUGGGUUAAGUCCCGCAACGAGCGCAACCCUUAUCCUUUGUUGCCAGCGAUUCGGUCGGGAACUCAAAGGAGACUGCCGGUGAUAAACCGGAGGAAGGUGGGGAUGACGUCAAGUCAUCAUGGCCCUUACGAGUAGGGCUACACACGUGCUACAAUGGCGCAUACAAAGAGAAGCGAGCCUGCGAGGGUGAGCGGACCUCAUAAAGUGCGUCGUAGUCCGGAUUGGAGUCUGCAACUCGACUCCAUGAAGUCGGAAUCGCUAGUAAUCGUAGAUCAGAAUGCUACGGUGAAUACGUUCCCGGGCCUUGUACACACCGCCCGUCACACCAUGGGAGUGGGUUGCAAAAGAAGUAGGUAGCUUAACCUUCGGGGGGGCGC